AGCGAACGCUGGCGGCAGGCCUAACACAUGCAAGUCGAACGAACCUUUCGGGGUUAGUGGCGGACGGGUGAGUAACACGUGGGAACGUGCCUUUAGGUUCGGAAUAACUCAGGGAAACUUGUGCUAAUACCGAAUGUGCCCUUCGGGGAAAGGUUUUUCGCCUUUAGAGCGGCCCGCGUCUUAUUAGCUAGUUGGUUGAGGUAAUGGCUUACCAAGGCGACGAUUAGUAGCUGGUCUGAGAGGAUGAUCAGCCACAUUGGGACUGAGACACAGCCCAAACUCCUACGGGAGGCAGCAGUGGGGAAUCUUGCGCAAUGGGCGAAAGCCUGACGCAGCCAUGCCGCGUGAAUGAUGAAGGUCUUAGGAUUGUAAAAUUCUUUCACCGGGGACGAUAAUGACGGUACCCGGAGAAGAAGCCCCGGCUAACUUCGUG
rnacentral:rRNA from 1 species